rnacentral:rRNA from 1 species
GAUGAACGCUGGCGGCGUGCCUAAUACAUGCAAGUCGAGCGAACAGACGAGGAGCUUGCUCCUCUGACGUUAGCGGCGGUCGGGUGAGUAACACGUGGAUAACCUACCUAUAAGACUGGGAUAACUUCGGGAAACCGGAGCUAAUACCGGAUAAUAUAUUGAACCGCAUGGUUCAAUAGUGAAAGACGGUUUUGCUGUCACUUAUAGAUGGAUCCGCGCCGCAUUAGCUAGUUGGUAAGGUAACGGCUUACCAAGGCAACGAUGCGUAGCCGACCUGAGAGGGUGAUCGGCCACACUGGAACGGAGACACGGUCCAGACUCCUACGGGAGGCAGCAGUAGGGAAUCUUCCGCAAUGGGCGAAAGCUUGACGGAGCAACGCCGCGUGAGUGAUGAAGGUCUUCGGAUCGUAAAACUCUGUUAUUAGGGAAGAACAAAUGUGUAAGUAACUAUGCACGUCUUGACGGUACCUAAUCAGAAAGCCACGGCUAACUACGUG